GUAACUUCGGGAGAAGGGGGGCCCGGAGCGUGAACUCGACUUGCUUGAGUGAGCGUGCAAGGGCCGCAGAGACCAGAGAGAAGCGACUGUUUACUAAAAACACAGGUCCGUGCGAAGUCGCAAGACGAUGUAUACGGACUGACGCCUCCCCGGUGCUGGAAGGUUAAGAGGACGGGUUAGCCGUAAGGCGAAGCUCAGAAUUUAAGCCCCAGUAAACGGCGGUGGUAACUAUAACCAUCCUAAGGUAGCGAAAUUCCUUGUCGGGUAAGUUCCGACCUGCACGAAUGGCGUAACGACUUCCCUGCUGUCUCAACCGCGAACUCGGCGAAAUUGCACUACGAGUAAAGAUGCUCGUUACGCGCAGCAGGACGGAAAGACCCCGGGACCUUUACUAUAGCUUGGUAUUGGCGUUCGGAGUGGCUUGUGUAGGAUAGGUGGGAGACUAUGAAACUUUAACGCCAGUUAGAGUGGAGUCGUCCUUGAAAUACCACUCUGGUCACUUUGGACGUCUAACUUCGGUCCGUAAUCCGGACCAGGGACAGUGCCUGGUGGGUAGUUUAACUGGGGCGGUUGCCUCCCAAAAUGUAACGGAGGCGCCCAAAGGUUCCCUCAGCCUGGUUGGCAAUCAGGUGUCGAGUGUAAGUGCACAAGGGAGCUUGACUGUGAGACCGACGGGUCGAACAGGGACGAAAGUCGGGACUAGUGAUCCGGCAGUGGCUUGUGGAAGCGCUGUCGCUCAUCGGAUAAAAGGUACCCCGGGGAUAACAGGCUGAUCUUGCCCAAGAGUCCAUAUCGACGGCAUGGUUUGGCACCUCGAUGUCGGCUCGUCGCAUCCUGGGGCUGGAGUCGGUCCCAAGGGUUGGGCUGUUCGCCCAUUAAAGCGGCACGCGAGCUGGGUUUAGAACGUCGUGAGACAGUUCGGUCCCUAUCCGCUGCGCGCGCAGGAAACUUGAGAAGGGCCGUCCUUAGUACGAGAGGACCGGGACGGACUAACCUCUGGUGUGCCAGUUGUUCCGCCAGGAGCACGGCUGGUUAGCUACGUUGGGAAGGGAUAACCGCUGAAAGCAUCUAAGCGGGAAGCCUGCUUCAAGAUGAGGUUUCCAUCACUCCUUGAGAGUGGAGAGGCUCCCAGUAGACCACUGGGUGAUAGGCCGGUAGUGGAAGCGGGGACUAAAGACCCGUGGAGCUGACCGGUACUAAUAAGCCGAUCAC
rnacentral:rRNA from 1 species